CACGCAGCCCCGCGACGGCCAGCCUCCAAGGCCCGGCCCCUGCGCUGUCGGGCACCGGCCGGCCCCGGCCCUGACCCUUACGUCCGCGACCUUCCCUGAUCCCCUCCGUCAAGUUCCCCUGCCUCUUCUCCCCUCCGACGAGCUCUCCUGCAUCCCCUCCUCUCAUAUUCUGCUGAACCGAAAAUAGUACCUCCCGCAAGCGGCCACCGACACCAGAUCCGGCCACCACAGCCCCCAGGGAGGUUGGGGAAGCCACCAGGCUCCACCUGGACCACGGCGACCAACGGAUCUGAGGCCCCCUGCCCUCCGGUGCCUUCUCCAUGGCCAGUGGCCGCGCUCGUCAAGCUCGACCUUGUCGGAGCCCCUGCGGCAAGCCCUGACCAUGACGCUAGGACCGGCUAUGGCACCCCCUUCCUCUGGGAUUCAAUUCGCGGAAGCAACCCCUUCCCCUUACAGCUCUCUUGUCCCCUAACAUGCAGUUCAUUUCGGCUGCCAUCGAUGUCAUCCGCACUGCAGUGCUAAAUGUUCUCACGAUGUUUUGGUUUUUGCUGGCGUGCAGUUGGGGAUCCAUAGCCAUGCGGUUCAGCAGCAAAAAAUGCUACGGUGGAUCGGCGGUGGUCUCGGUCCAGCUUGUGCUCAUCGAAGGCACCUAUUGGCGAGAGCUCAUUUCCCUCGACCAUGCGAUUCGCUUCUUUGCACAUGUACAGCUCGCCAAUGUAGAAACCAAAACUCCAAACAGAAAAAGAAAGAAGGAAAUGAAGUGCAAAGAUGUGUUAAAUAAAAAAUGGUAGACAAACGACAAAAAAAGUAAUGACGUUCACUUAACCAUUUGAUGCACUAUGGUUUUUGAACUGAAGCAGUGCGGUAGGGUGUCUGAUAUUGUUUAUCUUGUAAGUGACCAUUUGAUGCAGUGCGGUUUUCUAACUGAAGCAGUGCGGUCGGGUGUCUGAUGUUGUUCAUCUUGUAAGUGACCAUUUGAUGCAGUGCAGUUUUCUAACUGAAGCAGUGCGGUCGGUUGUCUGAUGUUGUUCAGCUUGUAAGUGCAAAGAAAAAAAUGUUACCGAAACGACAAAUAAAGUAAUGCGGUUUACUUUUCCA